AUUGAACGCUGGCGGCAUGCCUUACACAUGCAAGUCGAACGGCAGCAUGGAGAGCUUGCUCUCUGAUGGCGAGUGGCGAACGGGUGAGUAAUGCAUCGGAGCGUACCGUGUAAUGGGGGAUAACGUAGCGAAAGUUACGCUAAUACCGCAUACGACCUGAGGGUGAAAGCAGGGGAUCGCAAGACCUUGCGUUAUACGAGCGGCCGAUGUCAGAUUAGCUAGUUGGUGAGGUAAAGGCCCACCAAGGCGACGAUCUGUAGCGGGUCUGAGAGGAUGAUCCGCCACACUGGGACUGAGACACGGCCCAGACUCCUACGGGAGGCAGCAGUGGGGAAUUUUGGACAAUGGGGGCAACCCUGAUCCAGCCAUGCCGCGUGAGUGAAGAAGGCCUUCGGGUUGUAAAGCUCUUUCGGCCGGGAAGAAAUCGCACAGGCUAAUACUCUGUGUGGAUGACGGUACCGGCAUAAGAAGCACCGGCUAACUACGUGCCAGCCGCCGCAGUAA
rnacentral:rRNA from 1 species